rnacentral:tRNA from 1 species
GGUUCCUUAGCCGAGUGGUUAGGCACCGGACUGCAAAUCCGUUUACGGCGGUUCGAAUCCGCCAGGAACCU